UUGGGAGAGAAAGUGAUAAAGUAGAGAUAGAAAUAGAUAGUUUAGGGAGAGAAAGUGAUGGUAGAGAUAGAAAUAGAUGGUGCUGAAAGAUGGUGUAUUCCUCAUGAUGAGAGAAUGAUGAGGAGGAGCUGUGCUUUAAGAAGAUCUGAACCACCGUAUCAUUCUAAAACCCUAGCUUGUCUUUUGUAAUAUUGUAAUAUGAAAUAUUGUAUUUAUUUAUUGUUGAAUGUCGGUGUAAUUAAGUGUAGAAUGUAGGUUUUAAUUGGAAGUUUUGGAUAUUCAAUUGAGAGAUCAUUAAGAAGGCAAGAGAAAGUCGUCAGAAAUAGUUAGUUAUAUAAAUUGAGAAUAGUUGUUUAGGUACCUUGGCAAGUUCCCACUUCCUCAAUUAUGAACGUUUCAAUUAAUUAAUUUGCAGCUUUCAAUUUUUUUUUAAUUCAUUUGCAUAAUACAAAUACACACCAGUCUUAAACAGUGAUAUACAUCUGAGAAGCAUCUACAGUAUAUUUUUUUAGUUUCCUCAAAAAU
rnacentral:lncRNA from 1 species